rnacentral:rRNA from 1 species
UAGGGAAUCUUCGGCAAUGGACGAAAGUCUGACCGAGCAACGCCGCGUGAGUGAAGAAGGUUUUCGGAUCGUAAAACUCUGUUGUUAGAGAAGAACAAGGACGUUAGUAACUGAACGUCCCCUGACGGUAUCUAACCAGAAAGCCACGGCUAACUACGUGCCAGCAGCCGCGGUAAUACGUAGGUGGCAAGCGUUGUCCGGAUUUAUUGGGCGUAAAGCGAGCGCAGGCGGUUUCUUAAGUCUGAUGUGAAAGCCCCCGGCUCAACCGGGGAGGGUCAUUGGAAACUGGGAGACUUGAGUGCAGAAGAGGAGAGUGGAAUUCCAUGUGUAGCGGUGAAAUGCGUAGAUAUAUGGGGGAACACCAGUGGCGAAGGCGGCCCUCUGGUCUGUAACUGACGCUGGGGCUCGAAAGCGUGGGGAGCACACAGG